rnacentral:rRNA from 1 species
UGGGGAAUAUUGCACAAUGGGCGAAAGCCUGAUGCAGCAACGCCGCGUGCGGGAUGACGGCCUUCGGGUUGUAAACCGCUUUCAGCAGGGACGAAGGUUUUCUGACGGUACCUGCAGAAGAAGCACCGGCUAACUACGUGCCAGCAGCCGCGGUGAUACGUAGGGUGCGAGCGUUGUCCGGAAUUAUUGGGCGUAAAGAGCUUGUAGGCGGUCCGUUGCGUCGGAAGUGAAAACUCAGGGCUUAACCCUGAGCCUGCUUUCGAUACGGGCGGACUUGAGGGAUGUAGGGGAGAACGGAAUUCCUGGUGGAGCGGUGGAAUGCGCAGAUAUCAGGAGGAACACCAGUGGCGAAGGCGGUUCUCUGGACAUUUCCUGACGCUGAGAAGCGAAAGCGUGGGGAGCAAACAGGCUUANAUACCCUGGUAGUCCACGCCGUAAACGGU